UACGUAGGGUGCAAGCGUUAAUCGGAAUUACUGGGCGUAAAGCGUGCGCAGGCGGCUUUGCAAGACAGAUGUGAAAUCCCCGGGCUUAACCUGGGAACUGCAUUUGUGACUGCAUGGCUGGAGUGCGGCAGAGGGGGAUGGAAUUCCGCGUGUAGCAGUGAAAUGCGUAGAGAUCGGGAAGAACAUCAGUGGCGAAGGCGGCCUGCUGGGCUGUUGCUGACGCUGAGGCGCGACAGCGUGGGGAGCAAACAGG
rnacentral:rRNA from 1 species